UACAGAGGUCCCGAGCGUUGUUCGGAUUCAUUGGGCGUAAAGGGUGCGUAGGCGGCGGGGUAAGUCUGAUGUGAAAUCCCGGGGCUCAACCCCGGAACUGCAUUGGAUACGGGCUGGCUUGAGUUUGGGAGAGGGAUGCGGAAUUCCAGGUGUAGCGGUGAAAUGCGUAGAUAUCUGGAGGAACACCGGUGGCGAAGGCGGCAUCCUGGACCAACACUGACACUGAGGAGCGAAAGCUAGGGGAGCGAACGGG
rnacentral:rRNA from 1 species